rnacentral:lncRNA from 1 species
UAUUUUAAUUCUUAGAUAUUAAACUUUAUUAAAUUUAUCAUCUUUACAAUAUGAAUAUAUCCAAAAAAUAUUUUUUUCAAACCAAAUUUUUGUACUAUAGAGAUGUAAGUCUUUUAAGAUAGUCCAAGUAGUCUUAAGGAUCUAUCCUAAUACUGAUAACACAAGCGACUUCACUUAUAUCUUACAUCUUAAAAUAUUAAGAUAGAAACUGAUUGAUUUUCUUA